rnacentral:antisense_RNA from 1 species
CAUGACACCGAGCCACAGCGGGGCGUCGGGGUCCCGGUCCUGCCCGUAGGUGGCCAGCAGCGCCUGCGCCUC